rnacentral:rRNA from 1 species
UGGGGAAUAUUGGACAAUGGGCGCAAGCCUGAUCCAGCCAUGCCGCGUGGGUGAAGAAGGCCCUAGGGUUGUAAACCCCUUUCAGCGGGGAAGAUAAUGACGGUACCCGCAGAAGAAGCCCCGGCUAACUCCGUGCCAGCAGCCGCGGUAAUACGGAGGGGGCUAGCGUUGUUCGGAAUUACUGGGCGUAAAGCGCGCGUAGGCGGACCUGCAAGUCGGGGGUGAAAGCCCGAGGCUCAACCUCGGAACUGCCUUCGAUACUGCGGGUCUCGAGUCCGGGAGAGGUGAGUGGAAUUCCUAGUGUAGAGGUGAAAUUCGUAGAUAUUAGGAAGAACACCAGUGGCGAAGGCGGCUCACUGGCCCGGUACUGACGCUGAGGCGCGAAAGCGUGGGAGCAAACAGGAUUAGAUACCCUGGUAGUCCACGCCGUAAACUAUGGUGCUAGCCGUCGGUCGGCAUGCCGGUCGGUGGCGC